rnacentral:lncRNA from 1 species
CUUUUGACAGCCGUGAGCUUCCCCGCCAGGAACUUACUGGGGCUGCAUCACCCUAGAAACGUGGCUUUGGGCUGUGGAAACGCUGCCUCUGUGGAAGUCUCUCCUCGCGGGGGUGGACGGGUCGCUGCGCGCCCAGCGUUCUUCUGCGGUUCUCACAGCCCGCCGCCGCCGCCGCCUCGGGGACCUUUGCGGGGAGGCCUCAGGUACCAGUCAGGACUGGUAGACUUUAAUGUGGAGAACUUCUGAAACAGCAGUUCUCAAAAUGUUACCUCCAGACACACAGAAUCUGCAUCACCCAGGAACUUGUAACCAUGCAAAUUCUCAGCCACCCAGACUUCCUGCAUCAGAAACUCUGGGGCCCAGCAGCCUGUGUUUUAACAAAGCCCUUCAGGCUGGAGUAUAGUGGCAUGAUCAUAGAUCACUGCAGCCUCAAACUCCUGGGCUCAAGCGAUCCUCCCACCUCAGCCUCCAUAUAGCUGGUGGGGACCAAGUUUCUAACACAUGAAUGUUGGGAGACACAUUCAGACCAUCGCAGUGGCCUUAUAAAAAGAGACACAAGAGCUUGCUCUCUGCCAUGUGAGAAUACCACAAGAAGACUGUCCUCAGCAAAUCAGAAAGCGGGUGGACCCUCAUCAGACACCAGAUGUGCCUGCACCUUGAUCUUGGACUUGCCAGCCUUCAGAACAGUAAGAAAGAAAUGUGUGUUGUUUAAGCCACCCAGUCUAUGGUAACUUGCUAUAGCAGCCCACUAGGAGACCCCAAGAUAUUUAAAAACUCAUCAGCACCUGCUUUCUGCAUCUGGACCCUGAUCUUCUGGUGGGUUUACCAGUUACUUGUAGAGUGUCCCUGUGAUAGUUUUAGGUGUCAACUUGACAGGAUUGAGGGAUGCCUAGAUGGCUGGGGAAGCACUGUUUCUGAGAAGGACCAUGUUUUUGGAGGAGACUGUUUUAUGAGUGAAUUUCAGGGGACACAUUCAGAUCAUGGCAGUGGCAUUAUAAAGAGAGACACAAAAGCUUGCUCUCUCUCUCUGCCAUGUAAGACUACCACACAAAGACUGCCAUCUGCAAACCAGAAGCAGGUGGGCUUUCCUCAGACACCAGAUCUGCCUGCACCUUGAUCUUGGACUUGCCAGCCUUCAGAACUCUAAGAAAGAAAUGGUAGCAUGGCUUGGUCUAAGUUGGAAGGCCUGAGAAACAAGCACAUGGUGGAACUGAGUUCAAGGAUAAAGACUUGAGAAUACCUGCUCAGUGGACUGAGUAGGGAAGAUCAACCCUCAAUGUAGGCAGGCACUAUCCAAUCACCUGAGGGCCCAGAUGGAACAAAAAGGUGGAAGAAGGGUGAAUUCUCUCUUCCAGAGCUGUGACACCCUUCUCAUGCCCUUGUACCACACAACUCUAGGUCCUUUGGCCUUUGGACUCUGACACUUGCACCAGUGGCCCUCUGGGGCUCUCAAGCCUUUAGCCUUGAACUUAGUUACACCAUGUGCCUCCUUGUUUCUCAGGCCUUCCAACUUGGAUCAGGCCAUGCCACCGGCUUCUCUGAUUCUCCAGCUUGCAGAUGGUAUAUUGUGACCCUGGCAUUUAAUAACUAUGACUUUGGUCUUAAGCAAUUUUCUUCCUCUGUGGAUUGAUAUUUACAUAUCAAUGUGGAUAAUAAUUUCUUACCACGGUAACUGUUGUGAGGUAAAAAUGAGUUAACAUAAGUAAAACCGAGCACAUGCAAACCAUCCGAAAUGGUUAAUACUUACUAUUUGUACUUGAAGAAAUAAAUGUUUUUGACAAUAAACUUCUUGUGCAGUUUUCCU